UAGAUUAGCCAUGCAUGUCUAAGUAUAAGCAAUUAUACAGCGAAACUGCGAAUGGCUCAUUAAAUCAGUUAUCGUUUAUUUGAUAGUACCUUACUACAUGGAUAACCGUGGUAAUUCUAGAGCUAAUACAUGCUGAAAACCCCGACUUCGGAAGGGGUGUAUUUAUUAGAUUAAAAACCAAUGCCCUUCGGGGCUCACUGGUGAUUCAUGAUAACUUCUCGAAUCGCACGGCCUUGCGCCGGCGAUGGUUCAUUCAAAUUUCUGCCCUAUCAACUUUCGACGGCUGGGUCUUGGCCAGCCGUGGUGACAACGGGUAACGGAGGGUUAGGGCUCGACCCCGGAGAAAACGCCUGAGAAACGGCGUUUACAUCCAAGGAAGGCAGCAGGCGCGCAAAUUACCCAAUGCCGACACGGCGAGGUAGUGACGAGAAAUACUGAUACAGGGCUCUUUUGGGUCUUGUAAUUGGAAUGAGUACAAUUUAAAUCUCUUAACGAGGAACAAUUGGAGGGCAAGUCUGGUGAACGUUCCAGUUCCGAUGCUGGUGCCAGAGAUAGCGGUUAAAUAGCCCACGCUAGUCGAGCAUCCGCCAUCAGCGGGAGGAUGCCGGCGAGACAACCUGGAUCGGGGGACGCUAAGGUGCCGAAGGGCGCUAUGCCAAUCCCGAGCGGAGUCCACUGACGGACCCGUGUAGAGCGCGCAAAGGUGUCGGUCCGGCUCGGUCGAGCUGGGCUUAAGGUACGUGCCGAUCCCCCGCGAAAGCGGGGCCGCGUCCAAGAGUGCCCGCUGCACGAAUGGACGUG
rnacentral:rRNA from 1 species